rnacentral:rRNA from 1 species
GACGAACGCUGGCGGCGUGCCUAAUACAUGCAAGUCGAGCGGACAGACGGGAGCUUGCUCCCUGAUGUUAGCGGCGGACGGGUGAGUAACACGUGGGUAACCUGCCUGUAAGACUGGGAUAACUCCGGGAAACCGGGGCUAAUACCGGAUGGUUGUCUGAACCGCAUGGUUCAGACAUAAAAGGUGGCUUCGGCUACCACUUACAGAUGGACCCGCGGCGCAUUAGCUAGUUGGUGAGGUAACGGCUCACCAAGGCAACGAUGCGUAGCCGACCUGAGAGGGUGAUCGGCCACACUGGGACUGAGACACGGCCCAGACUCCUACGGGAGGCAGCAGUAGGGAAUCUUCCGCAAUGGACGAAAGUCUGACGGAGCAACGCCGCGUGAGUGAUGAAGGUUUUCGGAUCGUAAAGCUCUGUUGUUAGAGAAGAACAAGUGCCGUUCAAAUAGGGCGGCACCUUGACGGUACCUAACCAGAAAGCCACGGCUAACUACGUG